CGCGUAGGCGGUGUGUCAAGUCAGGCGUGAAAGCCCCGGGCUCAACCUGGGAACCGCGCUUGAGACUGGCACGCUAGAGUUCGGGAGAGGAUGGUGGAAUUCCCAGUGUAGAGGUGAAAUUCGUAGAUAUUGGGAAGAACACCGAUGGCGAAGGCAGCCAUCUGGACCGACACUGACGCUGAGGCGCGAAAGCGUGGGAGCAAACA
rnacentral:rRNA from 1 species